CCGACGCCAAAGUCCCCGACUGCCAGGCCGGCUGGGAAAAGGCGAUGACCAUCCUCCUGGCGGCCAUGGGCGGCUCCAACUAUGUCCAC
rnacentral:ncRNA from 1 species